rnacentral:piRNA from 1 species
UGGUGGAAUGUGGUUCAGAAGCCUCUGC